UCAUCGCCCCACUUGAACCAGAUGCCCUCACCAACCUCCAUGCAAUUGAGGAUGAUGGAGAAACAUUGUCUGCGGCAUUCGAAAGGGAAGAGGAAAGGCCUAUUGAGGAUGAAAUCGAAUCCAAUGAGAGGCCAUCCACUUCUAAAUCACAGCUUACCUCUGUAAGAUUCUCCCUGGAAUUAUAAUGAAACGCUCUACUUGGCACUGUGAAAUCCAAUCUCAUCUUUUGCAUUCCUAUAGCUUCCAGUCAAAGACUUAUAUAAAAUCUAUCUAGAAAAGCAAAUACACAAAGCAGACUUGGAAAUGGACCACCUUAGGCAAAAGAUGCAAAAGGAUGCUUUGGAGAUCCACAUUUUGGAACAUAAGUUAAAGG